rnacentral:rRNA from 1 species
AUGAACGCUGGCGGCGUGCCUAAUACAUGCAAGUCGAGCGAACAGAUGAGGAGCUUGCUCCUCUGACGUUAGCGGCGGACGGGUGAGUAACACGUGGAUAACCUACCUAUAAGACUGGGAUAACUUCGGGAAACCGGAGCUAAUACCGGAUAAUAUAUUGAACCGCAUGGUUCAAUAGUGAAAGACGGUUUUGCUGUCACUUAUAGAUGGAUCCGCGCCGCAUUAGCUAGUUGGUAAGGUAACGGCUUACCAAGGCAACGAUGCGUAGCCGACCUGAGAGGGUGAUCGGCCACACUGGAACUGAGACACGGUCCAGACUCCUACGGGAGGCAGCAGUAGGGAAUCUUCCGCAAUGGGCGAAAGCCUGACGGAGCAACGCCGCGUGAGUGAUGAAGGUCUUCGGAUCGCAAAACUCUGUUAUUAGGGAAGAACAAAUGUGUAAGUAACUAUGCACGUCUUGACGGUACCUAAUCAGAAAGCCACGGCUAACUACGUA